CAACUCGGCAACUUUUCCUUUGCACAGGUUUUGAUAAAUCUCCCCCACUGUGUCCCAAAUGGAGUCGCCCUUACUUGGUGUCCAAAGGAGCAGCUAACCCUGGUACAGAUGGUAGUACUGUGGACAUGUAUCAGUAUUAAUACUGGUAUUAACGCAAGGGAAAGCAGCCCAGAACUGUAUGGGUAGUCAGAGCUAUAUUACAUCCGCGUCUCUCUGUUACUAGCAAUGGACUGAGCCUAACAAAAGGCAGUGGACAGCACAUUGCAGGAAAGUACAGCACCUAGUGGCUAAACUUUAGAGCUUUUUUUCUGGGUUGAAUGGCUUCAAAGGAUGGUUUACUUUGGAUGUUUUUGACAGCUAGGUACAUCAAGAAUAAAGAAAAUAUAAAAGCCAAAAUGGAGAGUGGACUGGCAUCUUAAAACUCACUCACAUCUUAAAACUUUCCCCGGUAAUUGGAAUAGACAAACCGUGCCGGACGUGGGAAAUGACUAUAGGAUUAAACAAAUCGCAUGGGAAAAAUCCUUGUACUUGUGGGGAAGGAUCAGCUGCGUGAAAAGAGAGAGCCUGAAAAGGAGCGAGAAUGAGUGACAACACUGUGCCCGCUGGAUGAUGAACUGUGUUAUAUUACAGGAACAUGUGACUUAAAGCUCCGGGCCCUUAUGGAAAAUCUGCAACAAGGACCCAGCCUACCAUGUUCAAUAUAUAAAACUGAUGUUUUCUUAUAUGUUAGAGAGGUCUUUGGGGCCCCUCAGAGCGUCCCAUAGACAUGGCAUGGGGGUGUGGCGUGACAUCACGUCUCCAGUCCCGGAAACACAGAGGUUUCCAAAACUGGAGCAGCAGCCCCACAUAGAAUGCAGGUGCUGAACGGAGAUCGCGGGGGUCCCAUCAGCAGGCACCCUGAGAUCAGACAUCUUAUCCCCUAUCCUUUGAAUAGGGGAUAAGAUGUCUUUGGCCGUAAUAUCCCUUUAAA